ensembl:lncRNA LRRC77P leucine rich repeat containing 77, pseudogene
CAUCAAGGAGAAGAACAUUCCACCCACGUUUGGAUUCUGGAAUAUCAUCCUUGCUUCCAUCAGAUUCUUGUAAGUACCUCACUUGGCACAAGGUAGACAUGACGUUCAAGGAAGUCAACUGCGUUGCCCAAGAGUAAGAGAAGGCAAAAACAUGCUAACUGACAAGAAAAUCAUGGGUUUUAUACAAGGAUAACAAGUGCUGGGUUGCUUAGCUAUGAGGAAGGCUAGGCUCACUGCAUACCAGAAGAUGUACAGCGUUGGAGAAUUCAGGGAUUUUUAUCAACAAUCAAACUAUAUUUGUGGAAAUUUUGUGCAUAAGUGCCAAAGAUGGCUGACAUCGGACCACAUUCUAUUUAACUCAACUGAAUGACACCAAGCUCUCAUCCUAAAACUUAUAGUUACAUCCACCCUUCUGAAAUAUUUAAUUAUUCUCCAAUACACUGGAGGUAAUAGGUAUAAAAAGAAUGAGCAUGUGCAACUUAGUAUCUCA